rnacentral:misc_RNA from 1 species
GAUGAAGAACGUAGCGAAAUGCGAUAAGUAAUGUGAAUUGCAGAAUUCAGUGAAUCAUCGAAUCAUUGAACGCACAUUGCGCCCGCCAGCAUUCUGGCGGGCAUGCCUGUUCGAGCGUCAUUUCAACCCUCGAGCCCCCCCGGGGGCCUCGGUGUUGGGGGACGGCACACCAGCCGCCCCCGAAAUGCAGUGGCGACCCCGCCGCAGCCUCCCCUGCGUAGUAGCACACACCUCGCACCGGAGCGCGGAGGCGGUCACGCCGUAAAACGCCCAACUUUCUUAGAGUUGACCUCGGAUCAGGUAGGAAUACCCGCUGAACUUAAGCAUAUCAAUAAGCGGAGGA